UAUUUUCAUAUCAAUUGAUUAUUUUUAUGAAAUGGUCCGCACAUGUUCAAGCGUAUCGCAUUUCUAUAAAUCGGGGUUCAUUAAUCGUUCAGAGUAGGAUGUUUUUGCCGUGUCAACGGGCUUUUUAGCUGAAAAAGCCUGCAAGAUAUGAAGCAAAUCACAUUGAAAGCGGUUCAGUCAGUAUCAAAUGAUCCCUUUUGUGGAUGUGGUGAAUACAUAGAGGGUAAAAUAUGGCUUUUGCCCACAAAUAAAUUCCUGGCACCUGCCGCCCCCGAAAUGCAGGCAACCAGCAUAACAAAGCAAACAAUGUCUGUACUGACAUUGCCAAACACAACAGAAAUGUUUGGUUAGUUUAAUUGUCUUAUCAACGGUGACAACGGUGCAGAAAAAUAACACUUGAGAUCUUAUGCGGGAAUUUAAAUAAAACAGGUGGUUUGAUAGACUUUAAGUGAAAAUCGGUGAAAUGUUGCCAGAAGGCAUCAAUUUGAUUGAGGACUACGGGUUCAGGAGCUCCCCAGAGUCAUGCAGUGACAAGUCCUUCAGCAGCACAGAUCUUGCUGACAGCAUGUCCGAGGAGGACUUUAUGACCCAACUAUCCUCCUCCUUGGACAUUCCCCUGCUGCUUAACGCAGGGGAGGAUGAAAUGGCCGUAUUGAAUUCAUUUCUCGAUAAAUCUCCCGAUGAAAUCCUGUCCGAGAUUAAGGACUCUCCGGUUCGUCUUUUUGACGACGAUUUGGAGGGCAAGGAGUUUGAUUUUUUCGUCGACAAGCCGCCUGACCAACCGCCAGCUUGCCCAAUGAACGAUCCCUCAUACUUCAACUACUUUCAUUCUCUGAAUGGAGCCUUAGCUGAGCAUUUAGUUAACAUUGAUGACGACAUUGGCCUAAAAUCGGAGCUGCAUUCAGAAGAGUCCUGUUCAUCUACUAACUCCAUUGAGCCUUCAACGCCUCCUCCAGUGAUAGCCAAACGGGCCAACCCCCCCACGUUCUUUUCCACUGAUGUGACCGCCAAUAAAAUUAGUCAAGCGCCGAUGAGAACAGUGAAACCCUCCACGAUUCAGGUGGUGCCUCAGGCGAAGCUGCCCAUUAAAAGAGUGCCAAUUAAGCCAAAGUACACCCUACCAACCAAGGGUUCCAACAUUGUUCUGAUUAAAAACGUGAAAAACGAGUUUGCAAAUAAAGCCAGCCAAAACAUAGUGCUUCUGGACAGUAUUCCCGUAAAUAACUUCAACUCGUUGGCUCCUGUGACUGUAAAUAUUCCCAAUUCGUCAAUAUGUAGUAGGAACAAUACGGAGCUUGAUCCACGGGUUUUAAAACGGCAAGAAAGAAGGAUCAAGAAUCGGGAGUCCGCCAGCAUAUCCAGGAAGAAGAAGAAGGACUACUUGAACUCCUUGGAGGAGCAGGUUAAGCAGUUGUCAGCCAAAAAUGCUCGGCUGGAGCAGGAAAACAGCUCCCUAAAGCAGAGGCUGGCGUUCUUUGAAUCGGCUGGAAACUGCCGGUUCAGUAUGGCAAAACGCGCUAAGCCCGCUUUGUUUCUUUGCGCCGUCCUCCUGCUUGUGGGUUUUAACUUCAAUCUGGCACGCAUCUUUGAGGUGAAAACCGCCAAGUCUGGAGACACCAACUAUCCGAAAUUGCCAGAUCAUUUCAGCAGGAAUCUGCUGUGGGCUGAUGAGGAUUCAAUGAACAACCUGAACUUGAAUCGGACGUACUUUUCAUCGCUCACCAUGUGUCCCGCCUCAAUUAAUCAAACGGAAAGCGCUCGACUGCUGCUAGAGCUUGAAAGGUGGAUCGGCAAGCCGAAAGUCACCAAAGCUCCGGUCAGAGCGGCAGCGAAGCCAGCCAGUAAAAAGGCGCAUAUCAAGCGGAAAAAACUGCGUCUGGACUCGUCGCUCGCCCAGUAUCGAGGCAGUAAUGGGGCGCAAAACGACAUGAAAACCGAACUAGAGGUUUUCAGUCCCAGGCUUGACCAGUUGUAUUCGGAAUUUUACCAGGCAAUAAAUCGGCGGGACGACACCUUCUAUGUGGUGUCCUUCAGCGAGCAGCACAUGCUGCUUCCUGCAUUGUACCACAACAACACCAGACGUCCCAAGAUGUCCCUGUUGAUGCCCUCGAUGUUCCACAAUGAAACCUCCACACAAACUUAUGUUCAGCUCAUGCAAAUUGACUGCGAAGUUCUGGACACCAAGCUGGUCAACGUGAAAUAUGGGACUAUACCAAGACCGUAUCGCCACUAUGGGAAUUCGAGUCAUCGGACUGAGGCGAGCGGAAGAAGGGCCGAUAAUAUUUCCACUGUUAAAAAAUAUGACCCUCGAGGAACGUACAAGCCCUACGUUUUAAGCAAGAACCUCUUAAAGGGCACUGACGACAGUGAAUAACUUCAGUAGAAUUUCAAUUCAUAUUCCUUUAUGGAAGCUCUCAAAUAUCCGGAUUUUCGAGUCCUUCACUUUUAGACUUAGGGCGUGUUGGGCGAUAAGCACUUUCAAUAUGGUGUAGGUAAUUCUUAACUAGCUCACUUUGCAAUAUUUAGCUUCUAGUAUGUUUGUUAUUUCUAAAUAGUUUACUGUAUUAUUAAACAAGCCCAAUUUCACAGUUAAUUAGCCAUAAAGCUCCCAGCGAAUAGAGAAAAGACAAAUAUCACCAUAA
rnacentral:misc_RNA from 1 species